GGCCUUCUGCAGUUCGUAGUCGUCACGACUGGGUGUUCAUGCCCUUGUGGGACACGAGCCUCCCUCAAACUUUGUUACGAAUCGGUACACUACCUGUCUGACG
ensembl:snoRNA